UACGGGGGGGGCAAGCGUUGUUCGGAAUUACUGGGCGUAAAGGGCUCGUAGGUGGCCAACUAAGUCGGACGUGAAAUCCCUCGGCUUAACCGGGGAACUGCAUCCGAUACUGGAUGGCUUGAGUUCGGGAGAGGGAUGCGGAAUUCCAGGUGUAGCGGUGAAAUGCGUAGAGAUUGGAAAGAACACCGAUGGCGAAGGCACUUUACUGGGCUAUUACUAACACUCAGAGACGAAAGCUAGGGUAGCAAAUGGG
rnacentral:rRNA from 1 species